CAUGUGUGUAUACACAGGGCAAUGUUGCCUAGCAACCAAGGAAUGUCAAUGGGCAAUCCACCUCAUCAACAUGAGUCACAUGGCAAAGCCUCAGUAUGUGUGUAUGUGUGCAGGUAUGGUGCUGGGGACUGAACUAGGGACCUUGCAAUCGGCUCCUGAAUAGUAAAGAUUGUCACAUCUGACUUGACCCUGUGCAAUCCCACACUUAUUUGCCUGAUGCCCAUGAAGGAUGUUGGAUUCCAUGGAACUGAAGAGAGGUCUGACAGUCAGUCCAAUGCUGAUAAGAACCUGCAUUUCAUCUUUUUUUCUGAUAAUCAAG